rnacentral:misc_RNA from 1 species
AAGAAUGAAGUUUGGCAAAAGGAUGCAAUUUCUAUAGAUGGAGAUAGAAUUAAAACAAUGGAGAGCACAAAUCUCGCAUGCAUACAGGCCAAAGAUCGGACAACUGGAAGGAUUGAGAUUGCAUCUUGUGUUAGGGUUGCUGAGGUGGCUCAAAUAAGAAUAACAAGCAAGGAGUUUCCGUUUCAUGUAACUCAUGUUGCUAUCGGCGCUGAACUUGAUCUUCCCAUAAGCUAUUUCGAUGCUUUAGGAAAUCCCUUCUUUGAAGCACCACACAAUGUUGUUUCCUAUCAUGCCGAGACUAACUAUCAUGAUAUUGUCUCCAUAGAUGAUACAAAAAAUGGUAGUGGGGG